UACGUAGGGUGCGAGCGUUGUCCGGAAUUAUUGGGCGUAAAGAGCUCGUAGGCGGUUUGUCGCGUCUGCUGUGAAAUCCCGAGGCUCAACCUCGGGCCUGCAGUGGGUACGGGCAGACUUGAGUGGGGUAGGGGAGACUGGAAUUCCUGGUGUAGCGGUGGAAUGCGCAGAUAUCAGGAGGAACACCGAUGGCGAAGGCAGGUCUCUGGGCAGUUACUGACGCUGAGGAGCGAAAGCGUGGGGAGCGAACAGG
rnacentral:rRNA from 1 species